rnacentral:rRNA from 1 species
UACGUAGGUUGCAAGCGUUGUCCGGAUUUACUGGGCGUAAAGGGCGUGCAGGCGGUUUGUUAAGUUCAGGGUGAAAGCUCCCGGCUCAACUGGGAGAGGUCCUUGGAUACUGGCAGACUUGAGGAGGGUAGAGGAGAGUGGAAUUCCCGGUGUAGUGGUGAUAUGCGUAGAUAUGCGGAGGAACACCGAUGGCGAAGGCAGCCUCCUGGGAUAACACUGACGCUCAUGCACGAAAGCGUGGGGAGCAAACAGG